CCGGGUGCGGGGCGCUUUGGUCGGUGUGGUACAGAGAAGCCGGCUUGUUUACCUGCCCCCGCCGGG
rfam:Colinus virginianus strain Texas jcf7180006227252, whole genome shotgun sequence.